UUUCUUUUCUUUUUCUUCUUCUUCUGUUGUUGUUUUAUCUUUGGAACAGCAUCCAAAUUUUUGUUGUUUUUGUUGGUUGUAGAUUUUAUUGGAUUCAUUUCAAAGUUGGAAACUUGCUCUCUGUUAUGUUGGUGGUUUUAAUGGGUGUUCACCUUUUCUGAGUUUUGUUGAAUCACUUGACUUUUCUUACGAAUAUGUCAUUAUAUUAAUUCUAUUUGGUUUGGGUUCUUCGGUGAGAUGAUGAUGGGCUUGCUUGUUAAAUGCACUUGUUCCUGGAAUCUUGUAAUUGAGUUUUAUUUCGAUUUCGUGUCUAUUGUAAUUUGUCUUUGAACUGUUCAUUUUGGGGGCGGUGGUGUGGGCCGGGGCCGGCGGAUAAUUUCUGGCCUAAAUAAAGGUGUAUCGGAUUCACCCGUAUAUUAUCUA
rnacentral:misc_RNA from 1 species